rnacentral:lncRNA from 1 species
GCAUAUCUACCCAUACUUAAGCAUUAAAACUUCUUUAAACUUACUUAAAACUUUAUGAAACAUAAAGGAAAGCAAGGAUCUACACUUACCUCUUGAAGAUCGAGGGUUGGUGCGAUCCCUAACUUGGAGAUGGGAGGAAACAAACUCCUUGGGUCUCCAAGCUCCCAAAACUUGAUUUAAGCUUUAAAACUUCAAAACCCAAAAGGAAACUCAUAAAAAC